rnacentral:lncRNA from 1 species
UACUGAAGUAUUUAUGGAGACAGAUACUGAACAUCCUGGAUUUACUAGACUCAAAUUGAUAGCAGCAGGGAAAAGAGCAAAUCAAUUUGUAUCUAAUGAAUGUAUUGUAAAUACACAAACAGGUCAAUAUUUAUCAACGACCAACUUUAUAAAUCAUAUGAAGCAGAUAAUCAAGUUUAAUGAUUUUUCUACACACGGUCCCUGCUUAUCAGAUACAGAUCAAACUGUAGAUAUUGCAUUCUGCCUAAGAAGUAAAUAUUUGCCAUACCAUGCUAUGCCAUGGAAAUUGCGUUAUCGACGGCAAUGGCCCCCUAAUGUCAAUAAUUGACAGGAUAAUAAAUUACGGUUGUUUAUUAGUACCUAUAGGACCCAGGAUUAUGGCAAAUUGUAAUUUAUUAUGGAGAAUAUCUUUCUCAGUGGCAGAAAAACAACUUGUACAUUCGUUUAAUUUCACUCAAC